GAAAAAAACCAUGCCAAAAAAAAAACCUACGAUCGAUGCCUCGUGCCCACAGCAGAUCGUUCUCCGCCGCCCUCCCAUCGAUCUGCCGCCGAUCCCUGCGGAGCUUCCCUCCCCAAUCCGAUCUGACGGAGAGAGUGCCAGAUCCGGCCGGGGGAGCCGCCGUAGAGCCUCCACGUCGGUGGAGCAGCACCUCCUGCCACGGGCGCCGCCGCCACCUCCUGCCUCACGACCCUUUGCCGCGACUCCGCCCCCAAGCGCGGCUCCCGCACGCAACCCGAACCCUAUCCCGCCAUGCCUCGCUGCCUCGCCGCUUGAGCCGCGCUGAUGGAGCCCGAGCAGCGGUGGCCGACCCCGUCGCCGCCGCCGAGCCUGUGGACGAGGAGAAGGAGAAGGAGGAGGAGACGGAGGCGGCCGAGGACGAGGAGGACACGCUGCUGGACCGCGCGCAGCCUGAUCUCACGGGUCCCUUUGCACAUGUGCAGUUCGUCAAUGGACCAAUGCCUAAUCUCCCCAAGGUUGAUGUUUCACUGGACCCGGUGAAGGAGUUGAGCAGAGUAAUAUCUGAGCGAAAAAAUUGAGGGGCGUGCUUUGGUUGUGCUCUCAGCCAGGUUAUUUUACGAGGGUUGUGUGCACUGAACCCCAUUUCUCUGGACCAAGGGACGAUGAACAAGAUGGGAAUGAGGAGGAUGCUACUAAUCCGGAGUAGUAAUAUUGGAUUACAGGUCAUGGGUUAACUAAUACAUGCAUCAGCUUUGUAUCAUAAAGAUUUCACCAUCCCAAGGUAAUGGAAAUAAGUUCACAAGAUUCUCAUGUUGAGGUCUGUACAAAGAGAUACAAGGCAAUGUCUGUGUGCUGGAAGGAGAAACUCACUGCCAAAGCUAUAAUCCCUGAUGCUAAAGCCUGCAUGUUCAGAUCUGCAGAGUUUACUCAUAUUACUGUAUGAAUGAUUAAUACAGAGGGAGCCCUUUUGUCAGGUCAUUUAAUCAUUAAAUCAUACGCACAUUAUCUCAGAGGGAGUAUUUCAUUUUCUACCUGAACCAAGUUGUUAUUUCAUUUCUAAGAGGCAAAGAGUUCCUCAUGGUUAGUUUGCCACAUUUUAUAUGUCUAUCUAUGUGCAUUACUAAUUCACUAUAUGCACCUUUAGUUCCCAGUUUUGGCUCACUUUCUUGAUGCAUCUCGGAUGAGAGGAAAGGAAUGGAUAAUCUGACAAGCAAUGUUCGGGCAUACCCUUAUAUUUACGUCUGAUGAAAUGCUGCGGGUGCAAACUAAUCAAGACUGCUGCCAUGAGCAAAAGAGCAGACAUUACUUAAUGAGAAAACAAUAAAAGAAUUUUCCGUGACUACGUACCACGACGAGUCAAAGACGAUGAAAGCACUACUCCAUUGGUGGUGUUAGCAAGUGGAGUCUGGAGGGAGAACAACACAAAGUAGGAAAUUGAUUCCCUCGCCCUUGCUUGCUUCAACGACCCCGCCCGUCUUGGUGGGGUCGAUUCCCCCAUCGCCCGACUCAUCUCCGACGAGUAUGGCGUCAGUGGGUACGCCCCGCCGUUCGUAUGCUUGGCGGGUCCCAGAACACCCGUGACGUGUAUGAGCUUGACUAGGGCGAGGGGCUCGUGCUCGUGCUCGAGCUCGACAAGACGCACUUCAAUCUCGUCACCAACUACGAGCUGGACUGUGAGACUCCAGAGCAGGCGGGGGCGACGAAGACGAAAGUGGGGGCAGUUCGAGCUUGUCGCUGCCGGAGACCCUGGAGAGGUGCGCGAAGAGACCUGGUUAGAUGUGUUGGCCACCACUGGUAAACUGGACUAAUAACAAAUCGGAUGUCAUCUCUCAUGUUGCCGAUUCAACCCUGGAUGAUGUUGCGCGGCCCGCGGCCAUGGACGAUGUGCUGUUGGACAACGACGCGAGGCCGAGGCAGCCAAUGUGAAUGACCACUGGAAAUCAUUUACCUUUCAAUCUUGGAAGGCCCUAAGCUAAAGGAGAGCAUCAAUUGUCAUGAGAGAUAAGCAAUAUCUAUUAGACACGCAUACUAUCAGGCUAACGCAAACCACUCGGGAAUGAAGAACUUACUUCCCAACAAGGAAAGUCCAGUGAUUGGGCAACAACAUGUGGAAGGAUAAUUACUGGAUACUUUUUUUAGCGAAUAACUGCGGAGCGAUUUGCUGUCUCAAAACAUGAGACACAAUGAGGUGAAAGAGAUGUGAUGGACAUAGAAGAGUAAACCCAUGAGGACAAAGAGAUGUGAAGCACAUAGAAGGAGGAAGCAAGGACCUCGAUCCACAUUAUUGAAGACAUAGAUAAGAACAAGAGUAUCACACUUCACACAUCAACCAAUCAAUGACACAUGUUGGUAUUGGGGCAUAUCACCCUCCCUUGCAUUAUACCUGUUAAUAUUAAGAUGAAACACUUAGUUGGAUGCAUUUCUCUUAUAUUGUUCUAUGGCAACACCCGAGCAUUCUGCUAGAGAAGAUGCUCGGGUGUAGACAGAAUCAUAUAUUAUAUUAUUAUCAUUAGUAUCAACAUAUUUGUAAAUGUUUUCAUACUCAAUCUAUGAGGUUAGAUUCAACACGAGAUCUAAAGUUUUGCGUGAAGCCAAA